UAACCGACUUCCAAAAAAGGAGGAGGUUCUCAAUUCGACUGUAUUUUUUUUUAAUGUAUGUUACAUCAGAACUUUUGACCGUGUGGACCGAUUUCGACAAAUUUUCUUUUAAUCGAAAGGUGGUGUGUGCCAAUUGGUCCCAUUUAAAUUUAUUUGAGAUCUAACAACUACUUUUCGAGUUAUAUCUAAUAAUGCGUUUUUACUUGACGCUUUUUUCGUCGACCUACGUUGUAUUAUAACGCAU
rnacentral:misc_RNA from 1 species